ACCGAAAUAGCUCAGUUGUGACAGCGUUAGAGAUCGAAAGUUCCUGGUUCGAUCCCAGGUUACGGAA
rnacentral:tRNA from 1 species